AUGGCCAAAUCACGUUGAAACACCGGUUUUGGUACGAUCACCGAAGUUAAGCAACGUAGAGCCUGGUCAGUACCGAGCUGGGUGACAGAUUUGUGAUACUAGGUGCU